rnacentral:rRNA from 1 species
CCUACGGGAGGCAGCAGUAAGGGAUAUUGGUCAAUGGGGGAAACCCUGAACCAGCAACGCCGCGUGAGGGAAGACGGUUUUCGGAUUGUAAACCUCUGUCCUCCGUGAAGAUGAUGACGGUAGCAGAGGAGGAAUCCCCGUCUCACUACGUGCCAGCUGCCGCGGAAAUACGUAGGGAGCGAGCGUGAUCCGGAUUUACUGGGUGUAAAGGGUGCGUAGGCGGCGUGGCAAGUCAGUAGUGAAAUCCAUGGGCUUAACCCAAGAACUGCUAUUGAAACUGUCGAGCUUGAGUGAAGGAGAGGUAGGCGGAAUUCCCGGUGUAGCGGUGAAAUGCGUAGAGAUCGGGAGGAACACCAGUGGCGAAGGCGACCUACUGGGCUUUAACUGACGCUGAGGCACGAAAGCGUGGGGAGCAAACAGGAUUAGAUACCCGAGUAGUC